rnacentral:rRNA from 1 species
UACAGAGGUCUCAAGCGUUGUUCGGAUUCAUUGGGCGUAAAGGGUGCGUAGGCGGCGCGGUAAGUCGGGUGUGAAAUCUUGGAGCUUAACUCCGGAACUGCAUUCGAUACUGCCGUGCUUGAGGACUGGAGAGGAGACUGGAAUUUACGGUGUAGCGGUGAAAUGCGUAGAUAUCGUAAGGAAGACCAGUGGCGAAGGCGGGUCUCUGGACAGUUCCUGACGCUGAGGCACGAAGGCCAGGGGAGCAAACGGG